GAUGAACGCUAGCGGCAGGCCUAAUACAUGCAAGUCGAGGGGUAACAGGAAGUGCUUGCACUUCGCUGACGACCGGCGCACGGGUGAGUAUCGCGUAUACAAUCUGCCUCAUACUAGGGAAUAGCCCGAAGAAAUUUGGAUUAAUGCCCUAUAGUAUCUUUUUAAGGCAUCUUAUUAAGAUUAAAGGUUACGGUAUGAGAUGAGUAUGCGUUCUAUUAGCUAGUAGGUGUGGUAACGGCACACCUAGGCUACGAUAGAUAGGGGCCCUGAGAGGGGGAUCCCCCACACUGGUACUGAGACACGGACCAGACUCCUACGGGAGGCAGCAGUAAGGAAUAUUGGUCAAUGGACGAAAGUCUGAACCAGCCAUGCCGCGUGCAGGAUGACUGCCCUAUGGGUUGUAAACUGCUUUUAUACAGGAAGAAACACCUCUACGUGUAGAGAUCUGACGGUACUGUAAGAAUAAGGAUCGGCUAACUCCGUGCCAGCCGCCGCAGUAAUAC
rnacentral:rRNA from 1 species